GACCUGCAGUUUGUGGCGCUGUGAUGAUACCUGACUUCCCAGCCGGGCUUUGAGUCCCGUUUUUCUCGGCUUCCCGCGCGCCAACGCCAGCUCCAUAACCUCACCAACAUUUAGAAAAAAAGAUGGAGGGGUGGGGACAGAAGGAACUGGUUAACUCGCGGGUUUCCUUUCAAAUGCACUAAACAUGUUUUCUCUCCUGACCUUUAUUCUCUCACACACUCUCUGAAGAAGGUGGUCUAGAGGCUGGAGAUUCAAGAUCUGGGUGCCAUCAUUUUCUGGUUCUGUUGAUGACCCUCUUCCAGGUUACAUACAGCUCACAUCUUGCAUCCUCAAGUGGUAGAGAGCAAACUCUUAAAUGUUUCUAUAUGUUUUUAUUCUACUGCCACAUUAAAUCGCCGAGCCAGAUAAUUUGUUGAAUAUUUAUCCCUCACCCUCUGCCCCACCACAUGUGCAGAGUUUUGCAUUACUUUUGCAUAUUGACAAUGUAUUUUAGUGGUCAGUAAAGAAAUAUUUAUGUUUGACUUUUUUGCUUAAAAAUAUUCUAAAAUUCAUGAUGACUGACUUUGGCUUUGUGAACUUGAACUAUAUCUUAUGGGUAUAGCAGGUGAGAUGUUCAGCCUUCUACUAGUUGACAUUCAAAUUGUUAAUAGCUAACACUGAUAAAGCUCUUUAUAUGCUAGCU
rnacentral:sRNA from 1 species